CAACACCUGCCUUGCUUCACCUGCUGCAAUCCCUGCAAUCAAUUUCAUCACCUAGCAACUGAAUUUACCUGCCUGCAAUCAAUCUCAUCGGUGAGCAACUGAAUCUGCCUGCCUGCCUUGUGCCUUCAAUUGGUAGCUGCCACCUUUAACAGGAAGGAUGAUAAGGCAACAGAUUUUGAUGGGUUUCUUGGCCAAGAAACCAAAACUUGCAGAACAACCAUCAGAAAUGGAUCCAAAACCAUCCCAAGAACCACAAGUACCACCACUUCCACCACUUGAAACCGAAGAAAGCAGCAAGUCAAGUAUUGAGUUACCCACCACCCUGAAAUUGAAAGCAUUUUUCCAGAUUGCUGGAUCAUGCAACAGUACAACUUCCAAGUUGCCCUUUCUUCCAAGGGCCUCUGGUGGCUCAACGGACUAAGACAGUCUGUUAUUAACACAGCUGCUUACAAUUACUGCAAGUUCAAGUCCCACCAGGCCCAAGAUUGACUCAGCCUUCCAUCCUUUAUAAGUUCAUUAUUAUCAUUGGAAGACAACACUUUUAUUGCUCUUAUGUCAAAAAAGUGACAUCAACUUGGCCACGCCCACCUGGUCAUCUGAUCACUGAACCACACUCAUCAAAUAAGC